GCACCCUGACAUCUGCUUUGUUUUAUAGGGUCUAGAACUGUCUGUUCUUUCUUUACCUCUGGGAAGACUGGGACUUAUGGUGCAGCCACCAGAUAGGAGAUCUGGUGCUGAGCCCCAGGCUGGGGCAGCAGGAAAACCACACCCAGUUACUUCCAGUCUGUUCUCUCUCACCAAGGUUCCCUGUCCCUCCAAGAACUAAUGCACAGAAACUCUCUCACUGGUGGACACUCCAUGGUUAAUAUUCUUCUCUUUUCUUCUGUGAUCAAAAGAAAUUCUGUUUCCUCAUAGAUGCUGGAAGUUCCCUAUGGAGAAAAAAAAUAUUAUUAUUUCUCAUCUUUUUGCACUCAUGGGCUAAGAGCUUCUCAAACCCCAAGGGCUCUGCUCACAAUCACCAAACGAAGGAAAAAGCAGCUGGAAAUGCAGCCCGGAGAUGUGUUCCCAGGAGUUGAGACUCUGGCUCCCGUAGAUUGCACCUCACACACGCACACCCUGUCUGUCUGUGUGCAUUUAGAGCACGUUCUCAAGAUCGAGUCUGAUUCUCACAACGACCCCAAGUAACCACAAUGACAAGUGUGAUGAGUUUCCCACAGUUCACAGAACAAGAUGGGAAGAAUGGUCCAGAAUCAUCCCACAGAACAAUGACUCACCAAUAGCUGCACAACAGUCAGGACAGAGCACAUGUCCGGAAAAUUUCAUUUUAAUUUGCCUCAGCUGGGACUACAGUUACUGUUUGAAAGAAAGAACAAUCAACAAAGUACCUAGGAAAGAAGACAUCUUGCAACACUCUUCAAUUUCUUCUUAAAUGCUUGGGGGAAACGUGAAAAAUUUUGAUAAAUAGGAAAACAAAAUUGUUGGCAAUAAAAUUAAUAAACAGCUUAUAUUUUCUUCCUUUCAAAUU
rnacentral:lncRNA from 1 species